UACAGAGGGUGCGAGCGUUAAUCGGAAUUACUGGGCGUAAAGCGUGCGUAGACGGUUAUUUAAGUCGGGUGUGAAAGCCCCGGGCUCAACCUGGGAAUUGCAUUCGAGACUGAAUAGCUAGGGUACGGUAGAGGGAAGUGGAAUUUCCGGUGUAGCGGUGAAAUGCGUAGAUAUCGGAAGGAACAUCAGUGGCGAAAGCGGCUCACUGGACUGGUAUUGACGCUGAGGUGCGAAAGCGUGGGGAGCAAACAGG
rnacentral:rRNA from 1 species